rnacentral:piRNA from 1 species
UAAGAAAGUCGUGAAGUGGCAAGAGC